rnacentral:lncRNA from 1 species
ACAGGAAGGGGACAUCAGUGCUCAGAGGGGCACGAGAAUUCAUAGAAAAGCUGAGGGAGCUGAGGUUAUUACAAAAUCUCAACUCUGGUUCCCUGUGCCUGAGAAAAACGGCCUAAACAAAGCACAGGUGAGGGUUUGUGGUGGCCUCCCGUCUGGGGAUCCAAGGCAUUCUGCCUCCUUGGAAGUUCUUGGCCUCUCGGCACUCCCAGUCGAUGGAGGUGUUGUCAGUGGACAAAGAUGAACAUUCCAGAAGAAAAGGCUUGAAACCAGCAGGCAUCAGAGAGAGCUCACAGCUGCUAAGAAGCUGGAGGCAUCCGGGCUGGUCUCUGCCCACCCCCACAACUGUUAGGCCACAGAUGCGGCAGGCAGGGCUGAGCAGCCCGGGUGGGGAGAAAGGGCAGAAGAGGAUUAUGGGAGGUCCCUGGGGAAACCUCAGGCAGAUUGAGGACGUUGCCCCCCACCAGCCCCCUCUCCAGGCUCAGAGGCGGUCAGAGUAGAGGCACACAGUGCUUGUCUGGGGCAGGUGGGCUUUAGCGCACACACUUUCAGGCCUUCAUUAAGAUUCAUCCUCCCCCGUGACCUGUCUCCUGGGUCCUGACCUGCAGCCCAGGGGUAGGGGGGGUUCCCCUUCUGUGGGGCUGCCCCAAGGCCCUUGCUGAGAGGCUAGGCACACCAGGCCUGUGUUAAGACUUGCCAAACUGCACCAGGAUCGCAGUAUCCAUUGUGGGAGGCGGAGAUUUUGCCCAGAUAAUUCUCUCUCCUUUCCAGCCCCAAUCCUAGCCCUGGCCUGGAGCCUUCCAGCCCCUACAGGCUGGGGUAGGAGAUGGGAUGGGUGGUACUGCCUGAAGGCAGAGAGGCCUACAGGUUGGUCCCCAGACCCCUAACGCCCUCGUGGUCUCUGGCUUGGGAAAGCCACGUAUGAAUAAACAUAGCUCAAUGAUACCAUCCAA